rnacentral:tmRNA from 1 species
GGGGACGUUUUGGAUUCGACAGGGAUAGAUCGAGCUUGAGCUGCGCGUCGAGGUUACGUCUCGUAAAACGUUAACGCCUAAAUAUAACUGGCAAAGCUAACAAUCAACCUGCUUUAGCUGCUGCGUAAGCGCACCUAAAGCGAUCCUUCCUGACAUCGCCCGUGUGUCAGCCUGAAGGGUCUCACAUGGAGCGGGCUUUGACAAUCUUCCGCCGUCUGAGGAAGGUUGUUGAAACAAAUCAGACUAGCUAUCUGGAAGCCUGUUGGUAGGCUGAAGGAAUAGCGAAGGAUAAUAUACCAACUACACGCGUAGACGCUUAAGUGGCGAUAUCUCUGGACGUGGGUUCGACUCCCACCGUCUCCACCA